rnacentral:misc_RNA from 1 species
UCCGUUUUGUCAACGGCAGUCUCCUUAGAGUGCUCGGCCGAACCGCUAGCAACUAAAGACGAGGGUUGCGCUCGUUGCGGGACUUAACCCAACAUCUCACGACACGAGCUGACGACAGCCAUGCACCACCUGUACACCGACAAAAGGGCACCCAUCUCUGGAUGUUUCCGGUGUAUGUCAAACCCAGGUAAGGUUCUUCGCGUUGCAUCGAAUUAAUCCGCAUGCUCCGCCGCUUGUGCGGGCCCCCGUCAAUUCCUUUGAGUUUCAGCCUUGCGGCCGUACUCCCCAGGCGGGGCACUUAAUGCGUUAGCGCCGGCACUCGGGGGGUCGCUCCCCCAAGCACCUAGUGCCCAUCGUUUACGGCGUGGACUAC